UAAUACAGAGGGUGCGAGCGUUAAUCGGAGUAACUGGGCGUAAAGGGCGCGUAGGCGGUGAUGUGAGUGUGAUGUGAAAGCCCCGGGCUUAACCUGGGAAGUGCAUCGCAAACGACAUGACUGGAGUAGAUGAGAGGGUGGCGGAAUUUCCGGUGUAGCGGUGAAAUGCGUAGAGAUCGGAAGGAACGUCGAUGGCGAAGGCAGCCACCUGGCAUCAUACUGACGCUGAGGCGCGAAAGCGUGGGGAGCGAACAGGAUUAGAUACCCUGGUAGUCCACGCUGUAAACGAUGAGUACUAAAGGUUGGUAGGGGAACCUAUCAGUCUUGAAGCUAACGCGAUAAGUAUUCCGCCUGGGAAGUACGGCCGCAAGGUUG
rnacentral:rRNA from 1 species